GACGAACGCUGGCGGCGUGCUUAACACAUGCAAGUCGAACGGAAAGGCCCUGCUUUUGUGGGGUGCUCGAGUGGCGAACGGGUGAGUAACACGUGAGUAACCUGCCCUUGACUUUGGGAUAACUUCAGGAAACUGGGGCUAAUACCGGAUAGGAGCUCCUGCUGCAUGGUGGGGGUUGGAAAGUUUCGGCGGUUGGGGAUGGACUCGCGGCUUAUCAGCUUGUUGGUGGGGUAGUGGCUUACCAAGGCUUUGACGGGUAGCCGGCCUGAGAGGGUGACCGGCCACAUUGGGACUGAGAUACGGCCCAGACUCCUACGGGAGGCAGCAGUGGGGAAUAUUGCACAAUGGGCGGAAGCCUGAUGCAGCAACGCCGCGUGCGGGAUGACGGCCUUCGGGUUGUAAACCGCUUUCGCCUGUGACGAAGCGUGAGUGACGGUAAUGGGUAAAGAAGCACCGGCUAACUACGUGCCAGCAGCCGCGGUGAUACGUAGGGUGCGAGCGUUGUCCGGAUUUAUUGGGCGUAAAGGGCUCGUAGGUGGUUGAUCGCGUCGGAGGUGUAAUCUUGGGGCUUAACCCUGAGCGUGCUUUCGAUACGGGUUGACUUGAGGAAGGUAGGGGAGAAUGGAAUUCCUGGUGGAGCGGUGGAAUGCGCAGAUAUCAGGAGGAACACCAGUGGCGAAGGCGGUUCUCUGGGCCUUUCCUGACGCUGAGGAGCGAAAGCGUGGGGAGCGAACAGGCUUAGAUACCCUGGUAGUCCACGCUGUAAACGGUGGGUACUAGGUGUGGGGUCCAUUCCACGGGUUCCGUGCCGUAGCUAACGCUUUAAGUACCCCGCCUGGGGAGUACGGCCGCAAGGCUAAAACUCAAAGGAAUUGACGGGGCCCCGCACAAGCGGCGGAGCAUGCGGAUUAAUUCGAUGCAACGCGUAGAACCUUACCUGGGUUUGACAUGGAUCGGGAGCGCUCAGAGAUGGGUGUGCCUCUUUUGGGGUCGGUUCACAGGUGGUGCAUGGCUGUCGUCAGCUCGUGUCGUGAGAUGUUGGGUUAAGUCCCGCAACGAGCGCAACCCUUGUUCACUGUUGCCAGCACGUUAUGGUGGGGACUCAGUGGAGACCGCCGGGGUCAACUCGGAGGAAGGUGGGGAUGACGUCAAGUCAUCAUGCCCCUUAUGUCCAGGGCUUCACGCAUGCUACAAUGGCUGGUACAGAGAGUGGCGAGCCUGUGAGGGUGAGCGAAUCUCGGAAAGCCGGUCUCAGUUCGGAUUGGGGUCUGCAACUCGACCUCAUGAAGUCGGAGUCGCUAGUAAUCGCAGAUCAGCAACGCUGCGGUGAAUACGUUCCCGGGGCU
rnacentral:rRNA from 1 species